rnacentral:lncRNA from 1 species
GUUUGAUUCCUAGAAGAGACAGUUAAAUCUUUUCCAUGUUUAAGGCUCCUAUUUCACAGCUUUCAUUGCACAUUUCAAUAGACAGUGAUAUGUUCACAUAGGAUAAAUGUCAUGACAAAAUACCUGCCAAUAACAUGGCAAAAAAUAUACAAAAUUUCCCGAUAAACAGCAUUAAAAUUUAUCGAAACAGCAUAAGAACCUCCACAUUUCCCCCAAAUAUAAAAUUAACUUUUUAAUUGCUGUGACAGCUUAGUUGCUGCAAAAAAGGUUGAAAUCUCUCCAAAAAUGUUUUCACCUGGAAUGAAAUGUGACCUCAUUUUGUAACUCACUACAUAUUCAUCUUUAAAUCAAAACCAGCUCAAUAUCUUUAGUAAUAAAGAAAACAAAUCUGUACUUAAGACAAAUUUG